AGUGGCGCACGGGUGAGUAACGCGUAGGUGAUAUGCCUGUUAGUGGGGGACAACAGUUGGAAACGACUGCUAAUACCGCAUAAGCUUGGUGAAAUUGGAAAAACCAAGGAAAGGGGGCUUCGGCUCUCGCUAAUAGAUUGGCCUGCGUAGCAUUAGCUUGUUGGUGGGGUAAUGGCCUACCAAGGCUACGAUGCUUAACUGGUCUGAGAGGAUGAUCAGUCACACUGGAACUGAGACACGGUCCAGACUCC
rnacentral:rRNA from 1 species